rnacentral:rRNA from 1 species
GACGAACGCUGGCGGCGUGCCUAAUACAUGCAAGUCGAACGCAGUGGGGACGGGUGAGUAACACGUGGGUAACCUCCCAUCAGAGGGGAUAACACUUGGAAACAGGUGCUAAACCGAUACUGAUGGAUGGCCCCGCGGUGCAUUAGCUAGUAGGGGUGGUAACGGCUCACCAAGGCCACGAUGCAUAGCCGGCCUGAGAGGUUGAUCGGCCACACGGGGACUGAGACACGGCCCAGACUCCUACGGGAGGCAGCAGUAGGGAAUAUUCGGCAAUGGACGAAAGUCUGACGGAGCCAUGCCGCGUGUGUGAAGAAGGUUUUCGGAUUGUAAAACUCUGUUGGUAGAGAAGCGGUAUCCAACGAGAAAGCAACGGCUAACUCCGUGCCAGCAGCCGCGGUAAUUC